GGUGCAGCUCAGUGGUAGAGCACAUGUUUAACAUGCGUGGGGCCCUGGAUUUGAUUCCCAGCACCA
rnacentral:tRNA from 1 species